AUAAACGCUGGCGGCGUGCAUGAGACAUGCAAGUCGAACGAAGGAUCGGGCUUGUUCGAUCCUUAGUGGCGGACGGCUGAGUAACGCGUAGGUGACCUACCCCGAAGUGGGGAAUAACUGCCCGAAAGGGUGGCUAAUACCGCAUGUGGUCGCACGUUCAUUCGUGCGAGUAAAGCCGCAAGGCGCUUCGGGAGGGGCCUGCGUCCGAUUAGCUCGUUGGUGGGGUAAUGGCUUACCAAGGCGACGAUCGGUAGGUGGUCUGAGAGGACGAUCACCCAGACUGGGACUGAGACACGGCCCAGACUCCUACGGGAGGCAGCAGUCGGGAAUUUUGCUCAAUGGGGGAAACCCUGAAGCAGCAACGCCGCGUGAGGGAUGAAGGCCUUCGGGUUGUAAACCUCUUUUGUCAGGGACGAUGAUGACGGUACCUGGCGAAUAAGCCACGGCUAACUACGUG
rnacentral:rRNA from 1 species